rnacentral:rRNA from 1 species
CGUGCAGGCGGUUUGGCAAGUCAGAUGUGAAAGCCCAGGGCUCAACCCUGGAAGUGCAAUUUGAAACUGCCAUUCUAGAGUAUGGGAGAGGAGAGUGGAAUUCCCAGUGUAAGAGGUGAAAUUCGUAGAUAUUGGGAGGAACACCCGUGGCGAAGGCGACUCUCUGGACCAAUACUGACGCUGAAACGCGAAAGCGUGGGGAGCAAACA